ACUAAUUUGCUACGUAUUCUUCCAGAGUCAAUAUGUGCUUUUUAAUUUUUGCUACCCAUUUUCAUCAUGCGGCUGUGUGUCCCCAAGAUGAUGUAAAAUACCCAGGAAAUCGUUACUCCUGGGGUCAAGUAAUAACCAAAUGGGUGAAGACUUGGGAGGUAUUUCAUGGACUGGAAUGGCAAUGAUGUCGCUUUUCACUUUUCCUUAGAAAAUGAAGACCUAAGAGUUGGGAAAGAUAGAGUAAAAGCAGUGUUAGAAAAACUCACUUGCUGUAGGCCCUGGACCAUUUGAGAAUAGUAGUAAUUCUCAUCAGAGACUGGGCAAUCCUUCUGAAGGAAAGGAGCUUAACCUGUUCAUCUUUCUCCCAAUAGAUUCCUAUGAAAAGCAACAG
rnacentral:lncRNA from 1 species